rnacentral:sRNA from 1 species
ACAAUAAAUUUGUGAAUUGGAGAAGGGCGUUGGUCUCUGAUUGGUUGAUGAGAUAUUUUAGAUAUUUAUCUCACCGUUAUGAGUUCAAACUUAAUUAUUUUAUACCAAAAUUCAUCAUAUCUACAUAUAUAUUUUUGCAGCUAUUUUGUGAAAUAAAUCCUAUAAUUGGAACUUAUUUACAAUACGUACCACUGGAUUUUAAUGUUUGUUUUUGAUAAUUAGAAAAAAAAUCUUCAAAUUAAAUAUUUGACAUUUAACAAUCUUCCCUAAAUCUCUCCACAUUAACUACACGAUUAGUUACUAAAAUAAAACUUCCAAAAUAUUUAAUAUCAUUUAAUUACUACAAAAUAAAUGGUUUUUUUACGGGACGGAUUGGUGGGACGGGUUUGACAGGACGUUACUUAAUAACAAUUGUAAACUAUAAAAUAAAAAUAUUUUAUAGAUAGAUACAAUUUGCAAACUUUAUGUAUACUAACUUUAGAAAAUAAAUUGUUUCCGCGGUGUACCGCGGGUUAAAAUCUAGUUGUUUUCUUUAUAAAUAGAAACUUGAAUCAUUUGAUUAUGACACCAAAACCGAUUUAUUGCUGGUAUCCUCUUUUUUUUCCUUUUUAAUUAAGUGGGAAUGCUUUGUUGGAUGAGUUAUUUGAUAUUAUCUUGAAGUUCUAUCAU